ensembl:lncRNA
GGAACACCUGCACGUUACAGAAGAGAAAGGAAGUGGACAAGCAGGUGACCCAGGUAGAGACUGCAGGGAGUUCAGACUCCAGCUGACGGAGCAGGAGGAGGACAAUGAGAGUAGAAAACAACCACAGCUGAAGUCCUUCUGCAGAUUUUGGAGGUUUGGAGAGAAGAUGACUUCAAAAAGUUCAAAUGGUACCUGAGUCAAAAGGACCUGAUGGAAGGUUUGAGAGGAAUCCUGAGGAGUCGGCUGGAGAAAGCAGACCGGAAGGACACAGUGGAUCAGACGGUCCAGCUCUACUGCACCAACACCGCCUACAUCACCAGGAUGGUGUUGACGAAGAUAGAAAGGAAUGAUCUGCUGGAGAGGCUGAGCAAUCUGCCAGAAGUCAGGGGUCCAGGAGAGCACAGGGAUCCCGCAGAGCACAGGGUCCCCGCAGACAACAGUGUCCCCGCAGAGCACAGGGUCCCCGUGUCCCCGCAGAGCACAGGGUCCCCGCAGAGCACAGGGUCCCCGCAGAGCACAGGGUCCCCGCAGAGCAUAGGAUCCCGCAGAGCACAGGAUCCC